GCGUAGAUGGAUGUUUAAGUCAGUUGUGAAAGUUUGCGGCUCAACCGUAAAAAUUGCAGUUGAUACUGGAUAUCUUGAGUGCAGUUGAGGCAGGCGGAAUUCGUGGUGUAGCGGUGAAAUGCUUAGAUAUCACGAAGAACUCCGAUUGCGAAGGCAGCCUGCUAAGCUGCAACUGACAUUGAGGCUCGAAAGUGUGGGUAUCAAACAGGAUUAGAUACCCUGGUAGUCCACACGGUAAACGAUGAAUACUCGCUGUUUGCGAUAUACUGCAAGCGGCCAAGCGAAAGCGUUAAGUAUUCCACCUGGGGAGUACGCCGGCAACGGUGAAACUCAAAGGAAUUGACGGGGGCCCGCACAAGCGGAGGAACAUGUGGUUUAAUUCGAUGAUACGCGAGGAACCUUACCCGGGCUUAAAUUGCAGAUGAAUUACGGUGAAAGCCGUAAGCCGCAAGGCAUCUGUGAAGGUGCUGCAUGGUUGUCGUCAGCUCGUGCCGUGAGGUGUCGGCUUAAGUGCCAUAACGAGCGCAACCCUUGUUGUCAGUUACUAACAGGUUUCGCUGAGGACUCUGACAAGACUGCCAUCGUAAGAUGUGAGGAAGGUGGGGAUGACGUCAAAUCAGCACGGCCCUUACGUCCGGGGCUACACACGUGUUACAAUGGGGGGUACAGAGGGCCGCUACCACGCGAGUGGAUGCCAAUCCCAAAAACCUCUCUCAGUUCGGACUGGAGUCUGCAACCCGACUCCACGAAGCUGGAUUCGCUAGUAAUCGCGCAUCAGCCACGGCGCGGUGAAUACGUUCCCGGGCCUUGUACACACCGCCCGUCAAGCCAUGGGAGCCGGGGGUACCUGAAGUGCGUAACCGCGAGGAGCGCCCUAGGGUAAAACUGGUGACUGGGG
rnacentral:rRNA from 1 species